rnacentral:rRNA from 1 species
UAUCUCGGACAAUUGGCCCAAGCCUGAUCCAGCCAUGCCGCGUGUGUGAAGAAGGCCCUCGUGUUGUAUAUCUCUUUUGGACGCAAAGAAUUCGCGCACGCUAACACCCCUCCCGGAAGACUGUCGGGUCGUAUGAAACACCGGCUAACUCCGUUCCUGCAGCCGCGGUAAUACGUAGGUUGCGAGCGUUAAUCGGAAUCACUGGGCGUAAAGCGUGCGCAGGCGGUUGAUUAAGACAGGCGUGGAAUACCCGGGCUUAACCUGGGAAGUGCGCUUGUGACUGGUCAGCUAGAGUACGGCAGAGGGGGGUGGAAUUCCACGUGUAGCAGUGAAAUGCGUAGAGAUGUGGAGGAGCACCGAUGGCGAAGGCAGCCCCCUGGGCCGAUACUGACGCUCAUGCACGAAAGCGUGGGUAGCAAACAGG